GCUCGAGUGGCGAACGGGUGAGUAACACGUGAGUAACCUGCCCUUGACUUUGGGAUAACUUCAGGAAACUGGGGCUAAUACCGGAUAGGAGCUCCUGCUGCAUGGUGGGGGUUGGAAAGUUUCGGCGGUUGGGGAUGGACUCGCGGCUUAUCAGCUUGUUGGUGGGGUAGUGGCCUACCAAGGCUUUGACGGGUAGCCGGCCUGAGAGGGUGACCGGCCACAUUGGAACUGAGAUACGGCCCAG
rnacentral:rRNA from 1 species